rnacentral:rRNA from 1 species
CGGCGGACGGGUGAGUAAUGUCUGGGAAACUGCCCGAUGGAGGGGGAUAACUACUGGAAACGGUAGCUAAUACCGCAUAACGUCGCAAGACCAAAGAGGGGGACCUUAGGGCCUCUUGCCAUCGGAUGUGCCCAGAUGGGAUUAGCUAGUAGGUGGGGUAACGGCUCACCUAGGCGACGAUCCCUAGCUGGUCUGAGAGGAUGACCGGCCACACUGGAACUGAGACACGGUCCAG